GACGAACGCUGGCGGCGUGCUUAACACAUGCAAGUCGAACGAUGAACUUGGAGCUUGCUCUGGGGGAUUAGUGGCGAACGGGUGAGUAACACGUGAGUAACCUGCCCUGGACUCUGGGAUAACUUCGAGAAAUCGGAGCUAAUACCGGAUAGGACCUUGCACCGCAUGGUGUGGGGUGGAAAGUUUUUCGGUUUGGGAUGGACUCGCGGCCUAUCAGCUUGUUUGUGAGGUAAUGGCUCACCAAGGCGUCGACGGGUAGCCGGCCUGAGAGGGUGACCGGCCACACUGGGACUGAGACACGGCCCAGACUCCUACGGGAGGCAGCAGUGGGGAAUAUUGCACAAUGGCGCAAGCCUGAUGCAGCAACGCCGCGUGCGGGAUGACGGCCUUCGGGUUGUAAACCGCUUUUAGUAGGGAAGAAGCCUUCGGGUGACGGUACCUGCAGGAAAAGGACCGGCUAACUACGUGCCAGCCGCCGCCGUAACAC
rnacentral:rRNA from 1 species